rnacentral:rRNA from 1 species
UACGAAGGGGGCUAGCGUUGUUCGGAAUUACUGGGCUUAAAGCGCGUGUAGGCGGGUCUUUAAGUCAGGGGUGAAAUGCCAGGGCUCAACCUUGGAACUGCCUUUGAUACUGGAGACCUUGAGUCCGGGAGAGGUGAGUGGAAUUGCGAGUGUAGAGGUGAAAUUCGUAGAUAUUCGCAAGAACACCAGUGGCGAAGGCGGCUCACUGGCCCGGAACUGACGCUGAGACGCGAAAGCGUGGGGAGCAAACAGG